UUAAUGGAGAGUUUGAUCCUGGCUCAGGACGAACGCUGGCGGCGUGCCUAAUACAUGCAAGUCGAGCGGAGUUGAUG
rnacentral:ncRNA from 1 species